UCUCUCGGAUUGACGGUAGGUGGAGAAGAAGCACCGGCCAACUACGUGCCAGCCGCCGCGGUAAUACGUAGGGUGCGAGCGUUGUCCGGAAUUACUGGGCGUAAAGAGCUCGUAGGUGGUUUGUCGCGUUGUUCGUGAAAUCUCACGGCUUAACUGUGAGCGUGCGGGCGAUACGGGCAGACUAGAGUACUGCAGGGGAGACUGGAAUUCCUGGUGUAGCGGUGGAAUGCGCAGAUAUCAGGAGGAACACCGGUGGCGAAGGCGGGUCUCUGGGCAGUAACUGACGCUGAGGAGCGAAAGCGUGGGGAGCGAACAGGAUUAGAUACCCUGGUAGUCCACGCCGUAAACGGUGGGUACUAGGUGUGGGUUUCCUUCCUU
rnacentral:rRNA from 1 species